CCUACAGGCAUCUGUUUGGGUGAUUUUCACCCAGCAAUAGUGAUAGAGGGUAAAGUAGGUUUUGAGUGGAUUCCACUGAGUGUAUAAAAUCAGGCGAUUUUGAUGCAUUUCAAGGGUGAACACAUUAAGGCUCACCAUAUUUACUGUCCCUUGUCAACUACAGUUGUCAUCCUGUCGCAGGCUUAGCGUCUAGCUAAUGAGUAAGACACAGGUCAGUUUGUUUAACUUGCGUCUUCUAUGGCAUGAUCAACUCAGAGUCCUGACCUGUAGUGUGCUCGACAUCCCUACCACUGGCACUCUUGCAGCUGUUCGCGUGUUGAGGAGACUGUGUUUUCCCCAGGGAAGUCUCAAAUGUCCCAGGAAUGGGUGGACUAAAGACCAACUUUCCAGUGUCAUUAUUAUUUUGUUUAGGAAUUUUUUGUUCUUGAAUUCCAAAUUUUUCAGUAAUUUUGAAGAUUUUUUUUUUUGGUUUUUGUUUAGGGUCCUUCCAUAACACUUUUUUUUUUUCAUUUUGUUAGACAUGGCACAGUUGAAAAUAACAGAAGACCACUCUAAUUUGUCAUGUGUUGUCAUAUUUUGAUAUAUUUUGAUGAUAAGUGCUUUUUUGGGGGUAUAUUAUAUCACAUAAAAAUCGCCCGGCGUUAGUGAUAGUAUUACUAUUUAUAGCGAUAGUGUUCUAGGGUUAAAUCAGUGACACCUGGGCCUGUUUCACAUAGAUCCAGGGACAGGGGAAAGUCAUUUCCACGUUUCCUUCAGCCAGCGUUAGGGCUGGGCCAUAUCAUACCAUUCACGGUAAUACCAGUAUAAUGUUAGGCAGUGAUACGAAAAUGAAAUUUUUCUAUAGAAUAUGGGUAAAACACGCAUGCCCAGUGCCUUUGUUUUUGUUUUUGUUUUCACACACUGCUGAGUUUGUCCUGGUGGAUCAUCAGGGGUGCAAAGCCUCACAGAUGAUGUGCAGCAGUGGGUCCCUCAGUCUGUCCUCACUCUGGACACUUGCAGUUGUCACACAUGGAAAUCAAAUGUGUGAUAAGCUGCAGGAUUCAAACACAAGUGUAACUUAUAAAUACAUGUUCAUACUUUUAUUUCACAAUCAGAGAGAAAGAAAAAGAGAGAGAGUGCAGGACAGACAGACAGGUGACAGUAUCAGGUGUAUAGACUGC
ensembl:lncRNA